rnacentral:rRNA from 1 species
GACGAACGCUGGCGGCGUGCCUAAUACAUGCAAGUUGAGCGCUGAAGGUUGGUACUUGUACCAACUGGAUGAGCAGCGAACGGGUGAGUAACGCGUGGGGAAUCUGCCUUUGAGCGGGGGACAACAUUUGGAAACGAAUGCUAAUACCGCAUAAAAACUUUAAACACAAGUUUUAAGUUUGAAAGAUGCAAUUGCAUCACUCAAAGAUGAUCCCGCGUUGUAUUAGCUAGUUGCUGAGGUAAAGGCUCACCAAGGCGAUGAUACAUAGCCGACCUGAGAGGGUGAUCGGCCACAUUGGGACUGAGACACGGCCCAAACUCCUACGGGAGGCAGCAGUAGGGAAUCUUCGGCAAUGGACGAAAGUCUGACCGAGCAACGCCGCGUGAGUGAAGAAGGUUUUCGGAUCGUAAAACUCUGUUGGUAGAGAAGAACGUUGGUGAGAGUGGAAAGCUCAUCAAGUGACGGUAACUACCCAGAAAGGGACGGCUAACUACGUG